UUCUCUCCGACCUUUUUUUACCAUCGGAGAAGACAAGAAAAAGUGAGUCAGAGAUGGACGGAGGAUCUGCCCACGAAGGUGGAGGGCGAAGAAGAGAUGGGCACAGAAAAACACACGAAAACAAAGAGGAAGGAAAAAAAAGAUAAGGAGGAGAAACAGUGCAACUUUUAUUCAAAAAGUUUAAUUUUCGCUCAAAUAGUGUAACUUUCAUUCCAAAAAAUAUAAUUUUUCUCUCAAAAGCGUAAGUUUUCUAUAAAACAGUGUAACGUUUCCCUAAAACAAUAAUGCUCUC
rnacentral:lncRNA from 1 species